CAUGCCUAAAAACCCCGACUUCGGAGGGGUGUAUUUAUUAGAUAAAAAACCAAUGCCCUUCGGGGCUCUUUGGUGAUUCAUGAUAAACUUAACGGAUCGCAUGGCCUUGCGCCGGCGACGGUUCAUUCAAAUUUCUGCCCUAUCAACUUUCGAUGGUAAGGUAUUGGCUUACCAUGGUUUCAACGGGUAACGGGGAAUUAGGGUUCGAUUCCGGAGAGGGAGCCUGAGAAACGGCUACCACAUCCAAGGAAGGCAGCAGGCGCGCAAAUUACCCAAUCCCGACACGGGGAGGUAGUGACAAUAAAUACUGAUACAGGGCUCUUUUGGGUCUUGUAAUCGGAAUGAGUACAAUUUAAACCCCUUAACGAGGAACAAUUGGAGGGCAAGUCUGGUGCCAGCAGCCGCGGUAAUUCCAGCUCCAAUAGCGUAUAUUAAAGUUGUUGCAGUUAAAAAGCUCGUAGUUGAACCUUGGGCCUGGCUGGCCGGUCCGCCUCACCGCGUGCACUGGUCCGGCCGGGCCUUUCCUUCUGGAGAGCCUCAUGCCCUUUACUGGGUGUGUAGGGGAACCAGGACUUUUACUUUGAAAAAAUUAGAGUGUUCAAAGCAGGCCUUUGCUCGAAUACGUUAGCAUGGAAUAAUAGAAUAGGACGUGCGGUCCUAUUUUGUUGGUUUCUAGGACCGCCGUAAUGAUUAAUAGGGAUAGUCGGGGGCAUCAGUAUUCAAUUGUCAGAGGUGAAAUUCUUGGAUUUAUUGAAGACUAACUACUGCGAAAGCAUUUGCCAAGGAUGUUUUCAUUAAUCAGUGAACGAAAGUUAGGGGAUCGAAGACGAUCAGAUACCGUCGUAGUCUUAACCGUAAACUAUGCCGACUAGGGAUCGGACGAUGUUUCUAUCUUGACUCGCUCGGCACCUUACGAGAAAUCAAAGUUUUUGGGUUC
rnacentral:rRNA from 1 species